GACGAAGGGGGCUAGCGUUGUUCGGAAUUAUUGGGCGAAAAGAGCUCGUAGGCGGCUUGUCGCGUCGGAUGUGAAAGCCCGGGGCUUAACUCCGGGUCUGCAUUCGAUACGGGCAGGCUAGAGUUCGGUAGGGGAGAUCGGAAUUCCUGGUGUAGCGGUGAAAUGCGCAGAUAUCAGGAGGAACACCGGUGGCGAAGGCGGAUCUCUGGGCCGAUACUGACGCUGAGGAGCGAAAGCGUGGGGAGCGAACAGG
rnacentral:rRNA from 1 species